CACCACAAUCGUUUUCUGAAUCAACACAAACACAAUUUUUCAUCAUCAUUUCCGCACAAUGUUUUAACCCAGAACCAGCAACCAAAAUCCAACAACAAACCACCACAACCAUCGAACCAAGAUCCAAAGUAAAAGAGAUUGCCUCCGAAAAUUGGUGUUGGAAUCUCUAUUGGAACGCAAAGCACUAAAUCGAACUCGUUUGUAGAAAGGUAUCGUGAAGAAGAAAAACCCAGAAUGCGUGAAGAAGAAAAGAUGGAGGCAGGGGUAAAAUGGUCAUUGCGCGCGAUUCCAGACUCAUUAAGGGUAAAAAUGUCAUUUCCCUCGCCAUCAGCUGACGUGUCCUGACAAAACUCCAUUCACCAAAUGCCACGUAUCUAAUUACCCUCCACCUCAACAAAUUUUUGUAAUUAGGACGAAUUUUAAAAUGAUUAGUAAUUGCAGGGGCAAAAUGGGAGGAUUAGUAAGCUCAGGGAUGAAAAACCAAAUGGCCUAUAAUUACAGGGAUGAAAAGCAUAUUUAAGCCUUUAAAUCAAAACAUGUUAUUAUAUUUCCUCUGCUCAUUCUGUCAACAAAAUUGCUUUGUCCAUUUGCCAUUUACCUCGACAAUCCAGACUCGCAGCAUUACUAUGCAAAUUAAAUUUGAGUGGAUACCUGCAGCUUUCUUUAUUAUUUUUCUAAUUAGAUCACCAUGACAUUGUAGGCGUGCGUUUGCACAUCCACAAACAGAUUAGUAUAUAUAGUAUAUACAGAAUAGUAUAUGUUCCUGACAUAAUUGAAUAUAUCGAUUCCAUUUUACAAAAUUCUGUUAUGGCAUAUAAAACUGGAUUGGUUCUUGGCUUUCUAUAUGCACAACGAGUGAAUUACGUUGAAGAAAGUUAUGUUGAUUCUCAUAUCAAAAUGGAAUGGAUUAAAAAAAUU